GGCGGGCGGAGGGUCCCGGAUGUGCCGCCCUUCGCUCGCUCUUUUUUUUUAUUUUCCCAUUUUUUUCUCUCUUUUCUGAGGCGCUGGCGGUGUUCCUAGUUGCGUUGCCUGUUGGCUUAUCGUAUGCCUGGGCGCUGCAGGGCUCCGGGGCUCGCGCUGGACUGGAGGGUCCGAGCCGCCUUCGGCCGCCAGGUUGCCGCGCUCCGAGCCGCUCUCGCCUCCUGAUGCCGCGAGCCGAGGAGCGCGGGUGGCGGGGCGUGAGCCGCUGUCUCCGCCGCCAUCUUAGAGCCGGCGCGCCCGGGCCGCUGGGCGCUGGGCCCCGCGCCGGCAUUCCGCCGGCCCGGCGUGCGGAGGGCCUGGUCGGAGCUUGUCCAGCCUUCGCUCCUGAGCGGAGAGGCGCGGUCAGCGCUCCCUACCACAGGGCUGGGAGUGCGUGCUAAUAAGGAGCAGGAAGCCACCCUCGCCGGAGAAUGAGAACACGCAUGGCGGUCCCCUCUGCGAAUGGCAUUAGGGUCAGGGUAACUUACACCUGCCGGAGGUGGCACCCCGUUCGUUUCUAGUUCCCCGUUAUCCUCAGCCCUUAGCUUUCUUUUCAUAUUUUGAAGUAACUUUUUUCCAGAUCCCCAACAUUUUCAGAGGAGCUUCAGAAACAUAAAAGCCAGUAAGUUCAUCAGCUUCUAAGGAAUCAGCUACAGAGAUGGCAGAACUGAAUGAUGCAUAAAUAAGUGGAUCUAAAAUGGAGAUUUAUCUGAGCAGGCAUUCUCACUGCUGAGAGUAAACUAAGGAAGUAUCCAGUGAAGAUUAGCCCUGAGUUAACAUCUGCUGCCAAUCCUCCUCUUUUUGCUGAGGAAGACUGGCCCUGAGCUAACAUCCGUGCCCAUCUUCCUCUACUUUAUAUGUGAGACGCCUGCCACAGCAUGGCUUGCCAAGCGGUAACUUGUCCACACCUGGGAUCCAAACUGGCGAACUCUGGGCUGCUGAAGUGGAACAUGCAAACUUUAACUGCUGCACCACCAGGCUGCCCUUAUAAAUUUUGAAAUUUGGUGGGUUGUUGGAUAAUGAUGAAUUUAUGAACAGAAGAAGGAACGGUAGGUCUCCGCACUCUCAAGCCUAGCUUUCAGCUAAUCCACAGUCAAUGUCUCUGGGUGUCCUGAGCUUAAG
rnacentral:lncRNA from 1 species